UGUAUUAGAAAAAUUAUGGUAGCAAUGAUGGAAUUGCUUAUCAUCAUUCACUUUGAAGUGCAAGCUAAAAAUGUAAUCCCUAGCUCUUUUUGUCUUUCAGUUCGCACCCCUCUUCCUUGUAAUUCUAAACUUGAUCAAUUCCGAGGACCAUUCAUUAUAUGUAUUACAAAUAGAAUUAAAAAAUGUGGAGCUUGGCUAAAAGUUAAAGAUGCGAAAGAACGAGAGUUUGCAUUUGAGUCGUGUAUUGGUCUGAUUUUUGGUCUCUGCCACAAGCAUAUCAAAGAAAUUGACGACCCAAUCGUCCCUAUCAUUGAAGGGUGCGUAGAAGAUUGCCUUGACAACCACAAAGAAUUAAGUCCUCGUGUUGCUUGUAUAUUAUUGCGAUGUUUUUUACGCCAUAUCAACAAGUCGUAUCCAAGACCUCCACCUUAAUUUAGAUUUGAUUCAAUGGUGAAUUUGCACAUAUAUAUAUAUUUUGUACGGAAAUGGACAAGAGAUUACUUUGACAUCAUUGAGGAGAUUAAAUGCAAGAUGUAGUUUAUAUUCUUUAUUUCUUGAUGAUGAGGAACCCCUCCAAGGCAAGGUCACUUCGUGUAUUCACGUCUGUCAGGUAAACCUCGGACUUAUACGUGUAAAACGCCCCUCCCACAUGGAUCGAGUAAUACUCUAACUUAGACAGCAGGCUGGCCCUAAAGAAUUGUUUCCACCGAAGAGGAUUCGAACCUUAGAUCUCAUGGAACUACCAUAAACACCAAUGUCCUUACCUCUUGAGCCAACCCCACGGGGUUAGUUUAUAUUCUUUAUGACAACUUGUUGGAGAAUAUUUUGGACCAAAUUAAAUGGAUUAAGCGGCCGAGAUGCAUGAUAAUUUUGAUCAAGGGGGAGUCAAGUCAAUUAAUUAAGUCUAUGUUAUUACAGUGUUUUUUAAUAAGUGUCUUCGUGCACAUGCAAGGGGAAAAUGUAUGGCACUAUUUUUAAUGUUCUUUCACUUAAACGUUAUGUUGACCUUAUAAGAGGUUAAAUUUGUCUUAAUUAGUUACG